rnacentral:rRNA from 1 species
UACGGAGGGGGCUAGCGUUGUUCGGAAUUACUGGGCGUAAAGCGCACGUAGGCGGCUUUGCAAGUCAGAGGUGAAAGCCCGGGGCUCAACCCCGGAAUUGCCUUUGAGACUGCAUCGCUAGAAUUGUGGAGAGGUGAGUGGAAUUCCGAGUGUAGAGGUGAAAAUUCGUAGAUAUUCGGAAGAACACCAGUGGCGAAGGCGACUUACUGGACACAUAUUGACGCUGAGGUGCGAAAAGCGUGGGGGAGCAAACAGGG